GAUGAACGCUGGCGGCGUGCUUAACACAUGCAAGUCGAACGGAAAGGCCCAAGUUUGCUUGGGUACUCGAGUGGAGAACGGGUGAGUAACACGUGGGUGAUCUGCCCUGCACUUCGGGAUAAGCCUGGGAAACUGGGUCUAAUACCGGAUAGGACCACUUUUUGGAUGUUGUGGUGGAAAGUUUUUUCGGUGUGGGAUGAGCUCGCGGCCUAUCAGCUUGUUGGUGGGGUAAUGGUCUACCAAGGCGUCGACGGGUAGCCGGCCUGAGAGGGUGGACGGCCACAUUGGGACUGAGAGACGGCCCAGACUCCUACGGGAGGCAGCAGUGGGGAAUAUUGCACAAUGGGCGCAAGCCGGAUGCAGCGACGCCGCGGGGGGGAUGACGGCCUUCGGGUUGGAAACUCCUUUCGCUAGGGACGAAGCGUUUUGUGACGGUACCUGGAGAAGAAGCACCGGCUAACUACGUG
rnacentral:rRNA from 1 species